ensembl:ncRNA mir-4952 mir-4952 stem loop
UCCGGGUGCGCUGGACGAUCUGAUCUUCUCGGGAGCCGGAUCCGGAUGUCGCGGCGACGACGAGGACGAGUGCACGCCGCCAUUCGAAUCGGGUAGCGGGGAUGAUCUCAUAACACCGGUCUACGU